AUAGACAUCCGAACGUAUCCUUAUUAAGUAAAAAAAUAACAACAAACCAAUAACACCAAGUGUCGGUUAAAGAAAUCCGAAAUUCGUAUACCAUCCUAAUGUGAUUGUUAGGCUCAUUUAUCAUAAACCAGGAAAACUAAUACAAAGUACCGUUAUUCAUACAAAGGAACACCACGUUAAACAAAGGACGUUAACUAUUGAGUUGAAAAAACGUCCCUCCAUUGAUGUAAAGAAGGCAACGACUUUUUCGACUCCACUUAAGAUACUGUCACUCCCAACUACUAUCCUCGUGUUCAUUAAGACUACACAGAAUCUAUUCUACGAUAUUCCUAAUGUAUUGAAAGAAAUGGUUAGUGUCAUGGCUGCCACCGUCCGGUACGAAAGAUAGACGUCAAGAGGUUGAUUUUCAGAUUGACGUCCUCAUACAUCUUAGAAGAAAUGAAUUGAUCGAAUAUGAGUGCCUGUAUAGCACUUCGUGUUCGUCGGAACGUUGGUGUUUGGAACGUCUGAAGAGAAAAGUAUAGGUUUGAAACGUUUGUAAAGUAAGUACAAAAAUUUGAAUAAGAUGCAAA
rnacentral:rRNA from 1 species